GAGCGCCGAAUUUGCCUGGGGAAGGGGAAGUCCGCUCUGGCCCAUGCCUGCAUACUUGUAGUAACGCCCCUCAGCCCCAAUGUUUGUUAUUUUUCGAGUUCAGGUUGCUUUUGCCCUGUCUCCGUCGACGUGAUCUCCACCAGUCAAUGGGGUGGUCGUUUUGAGGGACCAAUGGUAAGAGCCAAUCACCUUGGCGAAAACGCGGAGAAACAGGGGACUAGUUACUGUCUUUAUCCGCCAUGUUAGAUUCACCCCACAGAGAUAGCGGCAGAGCUGGCAGCGGUCCUUGCAUUGGCGCCUCCCCGAGGGGCGGGAAGCUGGUAAAAGUUUCAUUUGAUCUGAAUACCUGGAUAAGGAAAAUGAAGAGGAGAAUAUGAAGAAGCGCUUAAGCCCUGCAGGAGGCAAGAAGCCCACGAACUGCUACUUCUGGACACUGACUGUUGAUGAUAUGAUGCUUUCUCUUGAUUGAUGGUUCUCCUGUCAUCAUUCUCCGGAUAUGACUCCCUGCAUGUCUCCUCUGCCACAUGACAGUCCUUUAAUAGAGAAGCCAGGCUUGGGGCAGAUAGAGGAAGAGAAUGAAGGGGCAGGAUUUAAAGCACGUCUUGAUUCUAUGGUGUCAGUAAAGAGGAAGGCUGAGAACAUUGCUUCUGUGGAGGAAGCAGAAGAAGACCUGAGUGGGACCCAAUUUGUGUGUGAGACAAUAAUCCGAUCCCUUACCUUGGAUGCUGCCCCAGACCACAACCCUCCUUGCAGAGUGAGUGUCCUUGCAUUUCCCUCACCUAGCAGGGUGGCACCUGAAUUGUGACUUCCAGACUUGACUAGUUAGAUGUCCUCUUCUUCACUGAGACUGAAGGGAGAGUGAUCUUAGUUAGAAAUUCUGAUCUUGUGUCUUUAGACUCUAGGUAUGCUACCUGACUGUUCUAAUUAGAGCAUCAGGAGCAAAGAAGCCACCAUACUCAUUUCUCCAUCUUCUCAGGGGCAGAAUUACAGCUGCAUUCCACAGUGGAAUAGCAGCCAUUUGUGGUACCUGGAUUCUGCAGUAAGGAAUCUUCCUGUAAUUUGACAGAGCUCCUUAGCAGAGACCCCUAUGGGUAGCUGGGUUGUCUGCUUUCUCCAAGGGCAGCAGUCCCAGAAACAGUGGAUAGAAGCAGGAGUACCAACAAAGUUUCUCAAAGUUAAAUUCUGCUGUAAUAAAUACCUUUAUUGGCCAGGCACGGUGGCUCACGCUUGUAAUCCCAGCACUUUUAUGAGGCUGAGGCGGGUGGAUCACCUGUGGUUGGGAGUUCGAGACCAGCCUGACCAACAUGGAGAAACCCCAUCUCUACUAAAAAUACAAAAAAUCACAUACCUGUAGUCCCAGCUGCUUGGGAGGCUGAGGCAGGAGAAUCGCUUUAACCCGGGAGGUGGAGGUUGUGGUGAACUGAGAUUGCGCCAUUGCACUCCAGCCUGGGCAACAAGAAUGAAACUCCAUCUCAAAAACAAAAAAAAAGAAUAGGAUGAGUGCGGUGGCUCACGCCUGUAAUCCCAGAACUUUGGGAGGCUGAGGUGGGCGGAUCACGAGGUCAGCAGAUUGAGACCAUCCUGGCAAACACGGUGAAACCCCGUCUGUACUAAAAAUACAAAAAAUUAGCUUGGCGUGGUGGCGGGCGCCUGUAGUCCCAGCUACUCGGGAGGCUGAGGCAGGAGAAUGGCAUGAACCUGGGAGGCGUAGCUUGCAGUGAGCCGAGAUCAUGCCAGUGCACUUCAGCCUGGGCGACAGAGCGAGACUCCGUCUCAAAAAAAAAAAAAAAAAGGAAUAAAUACCUGUAUAACAGAAACUUCUAGGUACCACUUAGAUAGAAACAAUAGCAUAUAUUUUAAGAAGUAUCCAAAAAUUCAAAUAUAGUAUGUCAAAAUAAUAUUGGAGAAUCUAUCAAUGAAAUUUGACCUAUAUCUUUAAAUAUUAUUUAUCUCACUUUUGUUUGAAGUAUACGUAAGGCCAGAUGUGGUGGCUCAUGCCUGUAAUCCCAGCACUUUAGGAGGCUGAGGCGGGUGGAUCACGAGGUUAGGAGAUUGAGACCAUCCUGGCUAACACGGUGAAACCCUGUCUUUACUAAAAAUACAAAAAAUUAGCCGAGUGUGGUGGCGGGCGCCUGUAGUCCCAGCUACUUGGGAGGCUGGGGCAGGAGAAUGGCGUGAACCCAGGAGGUGCAGCUUGCAGUGAGCCGAGAUCACGCCACUGCACUCCAGCCUAGGCGACACAGCGUGACUCUUUCUCAAAAAAAAAAAAAAAAGGACAGGGUCUCCCUGGAGCCUGCUUGUGUUGUAACUUUUUCUCAGCCUGGCCUCUCUUGCAGGACAGUGCCCAUUCAUUUCGAAGUGAGCCAAGCCGAUGAAAUGACUGUCUCCUGCAGCCCUUCCCCACCCUUGAUCCUCCCUUGCCCACCUACCGGUGUGGCAGCCUGGGGGUCCAGUCCAUUCUCCACCACUGAGAGCAUCUCCACUCACGCAGCUGCUCCCUCAGAGAAUCACAUGACACCUCGAGACAGAUGGCAGCCAGAUGAAUGAGCAGGCAACUCCUCACCAGCCAGAGUCCAUUCCCAGCAAGCAGUAGGAGGUCAGCCUCUCUUACUCGUACCGCAGCCAAAAGGCCUUUGAAGAACACAAAAAUAAAAACUGAGAAUGGAUUUGAAGGAAUAAAACCAGGAAGGAAAGUCCAGGGGGCUCAGUACUUGGGAGGCAAGGAGUCCUGGGUGCCGGGGGUGGGUCCACCCCAAGGAGUGGGUGGUAAGGGCACUUCACAUCAAAUGCUGCCCAGAAAGCCAGGGCCCUGUAGGAUCAAAACCUGUUGGCAGGGAACGACAGGCUGAUUCAGAUAUGGAGCUGUGAGUUCGAGGGGGAGGCUGCAGCUGAAGGUGGCAGGACCUGCAACACCCUGCCCCCACCCCUCCUGUCCCAGUCCAAUGUCUGCCAGCUCAUCAGUAAAAAGUACAACUGGAACGGCUUCAAAAGGAAAGGGCUCCCUUGCUGCACUUCUGCUUCUCAUUCGGGCUUUGAGGGUCUGGCUUGAGCAGCACAGACAGGGACUUGUCUAAUCGGGACGACCACAAGGUCUCAUCGCAAUUUGCCACUAACCAGGUAGGCAUGCACAGACCUCUCAGUUGGAGAAUGUGUAAACGCCUGUCACAGGGCCUGAUAUAUACCUGUACCUGAUAUGUUGUACUUGGUAUCUGUCAUCCCAGUGGAUGUGGCCACCUAAACCUACAGAUCAAGAAUGCCAUUGCCUAAAUCAAGUCAAUGAGUGGUUAAAUCCCUCAAGGCUGCCGGCUUCUUCCUGGGAGUGGGUGGGGUCGGGUGGGGUGGCGACUUACAGCCUGAGCCAGAGGGGGCUGCUGGCUGGCUUGGUCCCACCCCAGCAACUUGGACAGACCUGGGCUAGGCAGGCACAUUCACAUGUAAACAAAUCUCUAGCGAACACCUGGCUGAGCAUCAGGGGAACGCAGGGAAAGGUGAUGGCUGUCUCAGCUCUCAAACAAUCACCGCACAAAGAAGUUAACAAAACCAAGAAAAGUUAAAUGGGCUCGAUUCUCUUUACAUAUAUUGCCUAAUUUAUAGUCCUCCUAAGCACCCUAGGAGUGCUGUUUUAUUAUCUCCACCUGACAGAUAAGGAAAUGGCAGCUGACCCAGGUCAAGGAAGUUCCUGAAGUCCCAGGGCUGAUAAGUGGCCUGACUCCACCACCCCUUCUUCCAGAAGGAAGCCAACCCCAGCCCCAGGAAAACCCGAUUCCUGAGUGAGUGCUGUAAACCAAAAAUAAAAUUCUAAGCCCCCCAACUGCCUGAAUGGGCACCUCUUGGUCAAAUGGAUUUCGAAAAAACCUAAAAACUGAGUUCAGGCGAUGACAGCAAGUGGGGCGUGGGCCAUGCCUCAUCCUAGCCUCUCCCUUUUGGAGCUUGGACACAACUGACCAGCAUUAACAUUAAAGCAGAAUCCUGGGCCAGGCGCUGUGGCUCACGCCUGUAAUCCCAGCACUUUGGGAGGCCAAGGCGGGUGGAUCACAAAGUCAGGAGAUCGAGACCACCCUGGCUAACACGGUGAAACCCGGUCUCUACUAAAAAAUACAAAAAAUUGGCCAGGCACGGUGGCUCACGCCUGUAAUCCCAGCACUUUGGGAGGCCGAGAUGGGCAGAUCAUGAGGUCAGGAGAUCGAGACUAUCCUGGCUAACAUGGUGAAACCCUGUCUCUACUAAAAAUACAAAAAAAAAAUUGGCCGGGCAUGGUGGUGGGCGCCUGUAGUCCCAGCUAGUCGUGAGGCUGAGGCAGGAGAAUGGCGUGAACCCAGGAGGCAGAGCUUGCAGUGAGCUGAGAUCGCGCCACUGCACUCUAGCCUGGGCGACAGAGCGAGACUCCAUCUAAAAAAAAUUUAAAAAUAAAAAUAAAUUAAAAAAAUUAGCCGGGCAUAGUGGCAGGUGCCUGUAGUCCCAGCUACUCGGGAGGCUGAGCCAGGAGAAUGGCGUGAACCCAGGAGGCAGAGCUUGCAGUGAGCUGAGAUCGCGCCACUGCACUCUAGCCUGGGCGACAGAGCGAGACUCCGUCUAAAAAAAAAUUAAAAAAUAAAAAUAAAUUUAAAAAAUUAGCCGGGCAUAGUGGCAGGUGCCUGUAGUCCCAGCUACUCGGGAGGCUGAGCCAGGAGAAUGGCGUGAACCCAGGAGGCAGAGCUUGCAGUGAGCCGAGAUAGCGCCACUGUACUCCAGCCUGGCCGACAGAGUGAGACUCCAUCUCAAAAAAAACAAAACAAAAACAGAAUCCUAAGACUGACAGAACAGAUUCUCAGCCAUUAAGAUACCAACUCCAGCCUGACUCUGGUUUAACAUCACAUGAGAGAUAACAGGCCCUAAAGGAAAUCAAAGUAUUUUACCCCCAAGUGUAUUUCUUUGACAUAUUUUGGAAUGGCCCUGCAAAGCCAUCUCUUGUGGGGAAAAUUUAUAUCCUGCAGCGAUUCUCUUCCCUUUCUAGGCCUUUUCCUGAUCUAGGAGAGAUUUAACUAAGAGUCUGAUACCUUUUAGGGUCUGAUAAGAGACCAUCUAUUCUCUCUGGAGCCUGUUAACUGAAGGCUUCAUCUACAUAACAUGAACCUUGGCUUCCGCAACCCACCUUAUCUUUUUUUUUUUUUUUAUCAUACUUUAGGGUUUUAGGGUACAUGUGCACAUUGUGCAGGUUUGUUACAUAUGUAUCCAUGUGCCAUGUUGAUUUCCUGCACCCAUUAACUCGUCAUUUAGCAUUAGGUGUAUCUCCUAAUGCUGUCCCUCCCCCCUCCCCCCAUCCCACAACAUUCUACCAGAUAGGACCCUCAGCUGCAGGUCUGUUGGAGUUUACUAGAGGUCCACUCCAGACCCUGUUUGGCUGGGUGUCAGCAGCGGUGGCUGCAGAACAGCGGAUUUUCGUGAGACCACAAAUUCAGCUGUCUGAUAGUUCCUCUGAAAGUUUUGUCUCAGAGGAGUACCCAGUUGAAUGAGGUGUCAGUCUGUCCCUACUGGGGGGGUGCCUCCCAGUUAGGCUGCUCAGGGGUGAGGGACCCACUUUAGGAGGCAGUCUGUCCGUUCUCAGAUCUCCAGCUGCGCGCUGGGAGAACCACUACUCUCUUCAAAGCUGUCAGUCAGACAGGGACAUUUAAGUCUGUGGAGGUUCUUGCUGGGUUUUUGUUUGUCUGUGUCCUGCCCCCAGAGGUGGAGCCUACAGAGUCAGGCAGGCCUCCUUGAGCUGUGGUGGGCUCCACCCAGUUCCAGCUUCCUGGCUGCUUUGUUUACCUAAGCAAGCCUGGGCAAUGGCGGGCGCCCCUCCCCCAGCCUCGCUGCCGCCUUGCAGCUUGAUCUCAGACUGCUGUGCUAGCAAUCAGCGAGACUCCGUGGGCUUAGGACCCUCCGAGUCAGGUGCGGGACACAAUCUCCUAGUGUGCCGUUUUCCAGGCCCGUUGGAAAAGCGCAGUAUUAGGAUGGGACUGACCCGAUAUUCCAGGUGCCGUCUGUUUCCCUUUUCUUUGACUAGGAAAGGGAACUCCCUGACCCCUUGCGCUUCCCGAGUGAGGCAAUGCCUCGCCCUGCUUCGGCUCGCGCACAGUGCGCUUCACCGACUGUCCUGCGCCCACUGUUAGGCACUCCCUAGUGAGAUGAAACCGAUACCUCAAGCAGAAAUGCAGAAAUCACGUCUUCUGUGUCGCUGGGGCUGGGAGCUGGAGACCGGAGCUGUUCCUAUCCUUAUCUUAACCCCAAGCAUUUUUUUCUGCCGACUUCAACUCUUCAGGCAAAGUUUAACUCUUCCAACCAAUUGCCAAUCAGGAAAUCAUUUAAUCCACCUUACCCUGCCCCCACCAAUGUAUACCUUACAUGUAUUAAUUUAUGUCUUUGCCUGUAACUUCUGCCUGUAACUUGGAUAAAAAGCUGUAACCCAAUCACCUUGGGCACAUGUUCUCAGGACCUCCCAGGACUACGUCAUGGGUCAUGGCCCUCACAUUUGGCUCAGAAUAAACCUCUUCAAAUAUUUAA